rnacentral:misc_RNA from 1 species
UCGUAACAAGGUCUCCGUAGGUGAACCUGCGGAGGGAUCAUUACACAAAUAUGAAGGCGGGCUGGAACCUCUCGGGGUUACAGCCUUGCUGAAUUAUUCACCCUUGUCUUUUGCGUACUUCUUGUUUCCUUGGUGGGUUCGCCCACCACUAGGACAAACAUAAACCUUUUGUAAUUGCAAUCAGCGUCAGUAACAAAUUAAUAAUUACAACUUUCAACAACGGAUCUCUUGGUUCUGGCAUCGAUGAAGAACGCAGCGAAAUGCGAUAAGUAGUGUGAAUUGCAGAAUUCAGUGAAUCAUCGAAUCUUUGAACGCACAUUGCGCCCUUUGGUAUUCCAAAGGGCAUGCCUGUUCGAGCGUCAUUUGUACCCUCAAGCUUUGCUUGGUGUUGGGCGUCUUGUCUCUAGCUUUGCUGGAGACUCGCCUUAAAGUAAUUGGCAGCCGGCCUACUGGUUUCGGAGCGCAGCACAAGUCGCACUCUCUAUCAGCAAAGGUCUAGCAUCCAUUAAGCCUUUUUUUCAACUUUUGACCUCGGAUCAGGUAGGGAUACCCGCUGAACUUAAGCAUAUCAAUAA